rnacentral:rRNA from 1 species
AACGAACGCUGGCGGCAGGCCUAACACAUGCAAGUCGAGCGAGGACUUCGGUCCUAGCGGCGGACGGGUGAGUAACGCGUGGGAACGUGCCCUUUGCUUCGGAAUAGCCCUGGGAAACUGGGAGUAAUACCGGAUGAGCCCUUUGGGGGAAAGAUUUAUCGGCGAAGGAUCGGCCCGCGUUGGAUUAGGUAGUUGGUGGGGUAAUGGCCUACCAAGCCGACGAUCCAUAGCUGGUUUGAGAGGAUGAUCAGCCACACUGGGACUGAGACACGGCCCAGACUCCUACGGGAGGCAGCAGUGGGGAAUCUUAGACAAUGGGGGAAACCCUGAUCGAGCCAUGCCACGUGAGCGAUGAAGGCCUUAGGGUUGUAAAGCUCUUUCAGCUGGGAAGAUAAUGACGGUACCAGCAGAAGAAGCCCCGGCUAACUCCGUG